AGCAGAAGCAAAACCAACAUUUGGGAGAAGAACAGAUUAUACAGUAGCUUCUAUUGAAACAUCACUUCUCAUUUGCUGUUUGGACAAUGGUGAUGGAACUGCUGCUUUAUUGCCCACGGAGAAGCGAAGUGAAGAGUCUAAAGUGGGUCUUGCAGUUACACUGGACAAAAGAAGUUUGAAACUGAGGCUUGGUCCUGAAGAACACGUAGAGAAGGCUGACAGAUUAUAUAUAUUCACAGCUUUGGCUUAAAGGUUGCUGGUUGACCAAUAAGUAAUACAAGAAGAAAUGGUCUUUUCUGGAAUUGUCCUUUCCAUAUGGAGGCAUGGGAAUAUUACAUUCUUAUGGACAAGAGAAUUCCUAUUUGAUUUAAAGCAAGAAAAGAGAAAAAAAUGUAUAUAUUAACUGGGGAAAGCUUUUAGAGGCCUGCCAAAGACCUAUACAGAGAUAUUACUCCAAAAACCUGCUCAAGGUCAAGUUUGAUCAUACUUCAUAUGGCAUAAGCACCUUACAUUUUAUUCCUCAAGCACGUUUCUACAC
rnacentral:lncRNA from 1 species